GAGAAGAGUAAAACAACCUGUACAGAAUGUAUAGAAUCCACAGACUCACUGUGGAGAGCCCAACACAUGAAUGAAGAAAAUUGAGAGUCAUCAAAGCAGCAAUUCCAAACAGACUUGGCUCUGGGGGAGCAUGGAGCACAAGCAGGAUGGAGAGCAUCUGCCAGUGACAACCACCUCAAACUGCUGCGUGGCUCCAGGUCCCACCUGCUGCAUUGGCUGGAAUGAAACGGGGGACAAAGUAGAAUGAACAAUUUCACAAAUAAGAGGUCUGCUAGUGACUGUUCCUGUGGAAGGCAUGCACAACCCCUGCCUUGCAUACAGGUGGCCAACAGGAGCUGACAGUGUCCUCUCCAGAGUGCCUCCAGCCCUUCAGGACUCUGCACCAGGAAAAUGUACUGAGUAUUGACAUGGGUGACCAUUAAGCAACUGAAGGGAAGAAAAAGAGCAAGAAACCUAUGCUGGGCAAACUGAAUUCAGUUGAUGAGGGUGAAACUUAAUUAUGUGUGCAGACUAGUAGUCUAAUGGCAUCACUUUUGCACAUCAACAUUAAAGAAUUGUUGGAAUACCAAGCCAUAAAGAAUCACCAUAAAGAGCUCUCCUCCCAUUUUUGGAAUGCCCACAUUAUAGACCCACGGUGUUAAACUUGGAAGUUUCUUUUCCAAGUCAAAGCAAACACAGGACUUUCUUGGCAAUGAAUGCUGCUUCAGUGACCUCCAUUGGUCUGGCUUUUACCAGACAGGGCCCUCACUCUUUUGGAGCUGCCUUUUCUUUCCAAGUGCAUGGGAGGAGGUCCCUUAUCUUUAUCAUAUAUCUUCAAAAGGUGCCUCUGAGCAAGGCAAUCAGUAUCACAGACAGGUUUGUGCUUAGGAAACUGUGACUAAUGAAGCAAUAAAUCACUGAUUUGCCACCUCUGGAAAUGCAGUUUAGUCCAACUCUGUCACCUUUAUCCACAGCCUUUAGGGACAUUCCUUUAUUUUAAGGGGUUUACUUUCAAAACUCUGCGUGUGAUCCCCCCAUUAGAUAAAGAAGGUGUGAUCCAGAAGAGAGAGCAGUUUUGCAAGAAGCUUGCCUGACGAGGCAACUUCAUUUCAUUUGAUUGGGGAUUUUUCUUUUAUUCACUCUUUUGCCCUUUGCUGAUGUCUCAGCUCCCUCUCUAAUAAAUAACUGGUCCACAGCA